GAUCAUGGCUCAGGACGAACGCUGGCGGCGCGCCUAACACAUGCAAGUCGAACGAGCGAGAGAGAGCUUGCUUUCUCGAGCGAGUGGCGAACGGGUGAGUAACGCGUGAGGAACCUGCCUCAAAGAGGGGGACAACAGUUAGAAAUGACUGCUAAUACCGCAUAACCCGCUAGGGCCGCAUGGCCCGGACGGAAAAGGAGUAAUCCGGUAUGAGAUGGACCCGCGUCUGAUUAGCUGGUUGG
rnacentral:rRNA from 1 species